CUGGAUUGGAGCUUCCCAGCUGAGCUAACGCUGGCGGAACACAUGACAUAUCCUAAAUUCCUCCUCUGUCAAGAAGGUGGUUCUGCAGACUAAAGGUCUUAAAGAACAGGACAACCGCCGCUGAGAACACGUUGCUGCCCGGGGAACGGGGCGUCCUUCCCAGGUAACGGCCGUUGCCCACAAACACACCGGCUAACUGUGUCGAGUCGGUGCUCCCGCACCUUCUGUGCUCUUCUUGUGGUCACAGCUUUGAUGGAUCGAAGGAAAAGAAAGGGGGUGGCUGCCCGGCGUGACCUAAACCACCCCCCGCUUCAGCAGAGGCGACCCCGCUUGGAGACUCAAAUGUCUUUCCGCGUCCCGGGGGGCAUCGCAGGGGCAGAACUGUGGUGGAAUCCACCGGAUCGCUGACUUUUACAACGCCUCGGCGCUUUUUUAGAAAAGCUUUCUUGAAUUAGGCCAUACUCACUCUACGCUUUCGGAUAAAACGCUCACCGGCACGGCCGCGGGCAGCCGUCCGCGCUGGCGUGCGGGGGCGAUCGCUUCUUUUUGACAAGAAACGUGAAGCCA